rnacentral:rRNA from 1 species
UACGAGGGGGGGCGAGCGUUGUUCGGAAUUAUUGGGCGUAAAGGGUGCGUAGGCGGUUUGGUAAGUCUGAUGUGAAAUCUAUGGGCUCAACUCAUAGUCUGCAUCGGAAACUGCCGGGCUUGAGUAUGGGAGAGGUGAGUGGAAUUCCUGGUGUAGCGGUGAAAUGCGUAGAGAUCCGGAAGAACACCGGUGGCGAAGGCGGUCUGCUGGGCAGUUGCUGACACUGAGGCGCGACAGCGUGGGGAGCAAACAGG